GCAAAAUGCCUGGCAAUCUACAAGCAUCAUAAUGGGUCACUGGAGCUUCAGUGUCUUUCACAUUACUGUUAAUCUAUCAUGUGCUACUAUUAAAUUUAACUAGGUUAAUCCUCUUACUCAGAAAAUGGUUUCCCUCGAACUUCUUAAAAGGGACUAUUCAAACCUCCAAGGAACAUACUCAUGAUGUGUUAUGAUAGGAAGGAGGAGGCAGGAUGAAAGCAAACAGCUUUUGCAAACAGCUGCGUGUUUUCCUUGGAACCAGGGUGGGCAGAGCCCUGCUUGGAUGUGGGAGCCUGUGGCCUCCUGGCAUCAUCGUCUCAAAACUCUCCUGGGUGAGCCCCAGGCCUGUCGCCCACGACCUGCCCUUUGUCCUGCUCAUCCCCCAGUCAGAGGAGAAGCCCCGUUUGUUCUCUCUCUCCCUCCACUCCAUCCCCUUCUUUCUCUGAGGCAG
rnacentral:lncRNA from 1 species